CAAAAACCAAUUUCUCAGUCUCUCUGUCUCUCAUUCAAACGCAAACUCAGCAGAGUAACAACCCCUAAACAAAACCCAAUAUGGAAACCUAUUUCUCAGUCUCUGUCUCUCCUUCAAACGCAAAUUCAACCCCUAAACAAAGCCCAAUACAAAAACCUUUUUCUCAGUCUCUGUCUCCUUCAAACGCAAACUCAGCCCAACAAGCUAGACGCGGAUCUUUCUCUCUUCCCUUGCGACAGUAAACGAAUUCCACUAAGCCACAAACGCUUCGCCUCACAACCAACGGCUACAGGUUCUCCCUCAAUUUUGGUUCCUUUCAAUAUAUCAAAUUUUAGCAAGAGCAAGAGCAAGCCGAAGAAGAGGACCUGUGAUUUCUGUGUUUCUAGGUUCAUGAUUUGAGAUUUAAGUAGAGAUUUUUGGAUGACAAUGGUGAAAGAUGAUUUCUGCGUAUGGGCAAAGUUCAUUCUUCGCUUGAUUCAGUUAUAGUCUAAUCCAGUCAUGGGGCAGCCAAGUAGGUGAAUUUACAGGACAAGUUUGGAACUUUGGUAGAAGAAAGGGUGGUGAAAAUGGACAAAUAUAGCCAAGGCUUUGUGGUUGAGUUUCUAUUUCCUUUGAUAAUUUUGAGAAGCUGCCAAGGCUUUGUUAUUUAUAGCUGCUGACAGCGAUGAUAUCUCCACAGCUGUACAGUUCAUCAAUAAGGCAAGGCCAUGGAUUACAUUGAUGGCCGUUGGCUGGGAAUAUGGUGCAAACAUGUUGACGAAGUACUUGGCAGAAGUUGGAGAGAGUACAUCGCUUACGGCUGCCAUGUGCAUGGACAAUCCAUUUGACUUAGUGGAGGCUACAAGGUCCUUUCCUUAUCACAUGGCCAUUGGUCAGAAGUUCACCGGUGGACUGAUAGAUAUUCUAAGAUCUAAUAAGAAUUGGGAUUGAAGGGAGCAAAAUCAAGAUGCCAUGGACAUCCUCUUUUGAUUCAAAUUCGUAAAAGCUUCCUUACUCUCUUUCUCUCUCCAUGUGGUGUGAGGUCAAAUAUUUGCUUUCUCUGUUCUAAAUAACAAUUUAUAGAACUCAAUGUUUUAUGUUAAAUAAAUAUAUGAUGUACUCUUUUAUAUAAUACAAAUUUGUUGUAUUAUGUUCUUUCUCUACUCUUUUUGAGUCAUAGCAAAAGAAUUUGACAUUAGUAACUAUAUUCUAUUUAUUUAUUAUGAAAAUAAGAUUGCGAUCAUUAUUGCAA